rnacentral:lncRNA from 1 species
UUGCGUUUGCCCCCAAACUGUAUAAUCCUAAAUCCUGCAUUGGAGGUUGUCUCAUGCAAUCAAUCAUACUACCUUUUUCUCCUUUACGGCUGCGAGGAUGGUCUCCACAUUUCUACAAAGCUAGUGGCAAAGCAUCACAAUAUUUCAGCAUCAUCAAAUAUUUGCAACUUCUUCCUUAUUUUUCAUUUUGACAUAAUGCAUUUAUGUAAUAUAAAAAAUAAUAAGACUGCAAGAGAAACAGCCAACAAAAUCAAUAAAAUGAUGAGCAGGCCAUAAGCAAUGAAUCCCUAUUUGAUUGCUCUAGAAUACAUUUUUUUUUUUUUUUGGUUUAUCAAAAAUCCACAUGGGUGAGGAUCCGAAACUCAAUAAAAUCAUUUAUGCUAUUAAAAAAAAACAAAAUAUUACAUUCAAAAACAUGUACUUAUGUAUUUUUGAGUCAGAGAGAUGAGCAACCAAAUAUUAUUCCACAUGAGAAUCUCCCAACAGGCGGUACCUCAAGAAGCACUAUGUUCUCCAGUUUCAAAAACAUCAAUAUAAGGUAUUCCAGAUAUCCCAAUCAUCUAAGCAACAACGAUCCCCAGAUGAUGCUCAAUGCUGCAUCAACAUUCUUGUUUCAUCCAUCACUUAAUUGUUUUCAACCUUCCCCAUGCUUAACCACAAAAAAAAACUCGGUUGGGUGUCCUGAGAGUGUUAUUAGGAGAUUCUUCAUUUUCUUGGGCCUAUAUUUGAGUUUUACUGAAACUAAGAAUAUGACAAGCACAGAAACUCUCCAAAAACAGGCUUCUGAUCAUACAUAUUUCAAGUCAAAGAAUCAUGGCUUUGAUUCCUUUCAAUUACUUUAAGCUUGCAGGAACGACCAAUAUUUUAGGCAACAAAGCAGUACAAAUGACCAACGGAUUUACUCACAAAUGCUGCAAUCGUCAAACUGACAAGCAUCAAAGUGAAGCAUAUUUUUCGGAUUCAAAUAAAAAGGAACAAAUAUUGAUGAAAAAUCAAAAGAUGCAAUCUAAUCUGUUCUUUCCCUACAAAUAAACCCAAAAUUUCGGGCCAAGAAGUAGUAGCGAAGAAACCCCUCAAAGAAAGAGCAAGCCACUAGAUCUCCGAUGCAAACCCCUACACCAAGAAGGCAUCUCUCAUCCUUGAUCGUUCAAUCUCAACCAAACCUCACCACCUAAAACCAGCCAUUCCCGCAUAUCCAACAUCUCAAUCAGAUCAAAGAAGGUUUCAAACAAGAAGUGGGCAAAUCCCAAGAAAAGGGGUUAGAACAGGAUGGAAACAACCAGUAAUCAAGAAUCAAACCAUGUUAGACGCUAAUGCUAGAGCAAAGUUCUGUGAUCAUACGAAGAGAUACGGUUGCCCGCACUACCUCGGAUUGCCUGGCUCCAUCCUGUCUGCCUUCCAUCGCUAAGGGGCGAGGGAAAGGUGGGGGGGGAGGGACGGCCUACAUUGACGAAGAGGCCCUUCCCGGUGUCCCGCGACCGGCGGCUUCGUCGCUCGGGAUGACGGAGCGGCGGUCGGAGGGGAAGAAGGGUUUCCUCUUGGGUUUCGCCAUACGAGGGAGGAGAAGAGGAAGAGCGAUUGCUCUCUCUCUCUCUCUCUCUGAAUCAUUUGCGGUUUGUUAAGUUGCUAUUUAUGGGUUCGUUUCCUCCCUUCUUCUGCUUGCAGAGCGUCACCAAAUCGUUCGUUGCUGCGUAAAGCUCUUCCAAAGUGGUCUCAUCAUCAUCGUUUAUCGACAACAUGAUGAAUGAUCCAUCCAUCCAUGCCGUUCAUUCCGUUGCUUACGGAAUGGAUUCCUCUGCACAGAAAUAAUCCUAUCCAAAUCGGGUCUUCGUUUUCGUGUCGGUCGCCGAGGUGAGGUGUGCGAGCAGAGCGAGCGUUCGAACAGAGAUGGCGGGUGGACCCUUCCCCUCGCUGGGGCGUUUCGCAUGCCAACAAUGGCU